GAUGAACGCUGGCGGCGUGCCUAAUACAUGCAAGUCGAGCGAACGGACGAGAAGCUUGCUUCUCUGAUGUUAGCGGCGGACGGGUGAGUAACACGUGGAUAACCUACCUAUAAGACUGGGAUAACUUCGGGAAACCGUAGCUAAUACCGGAUAAUAUUUUGAACCGCAUGGUUCAAAAGUGAAAGACGGUCUUGCUGUCACUUAUAGAUGGAUCCGCGCUGCAUUAGCUAGUUGGUAAGGUAACGGCUUACCAAGGCAACGAUGCAUAGUCGACCUGAGAGGGUGAUCGGCCACACUGGAACUGAGACACGGUCCAGACUCCUACGGGAGGCAGCAGUAGGGAAUCUUCCGCAAUGGGCGAAAGCCUGACGGAGCAACGCCGCGUGAGUGAUGAAGGUCUUCGGAUCGUAAAACUCUGUUAUUAGGGAAGAACAUAUGUGUAAGUAACUGUGCACAUCUUGACGGUACCUAAUCAGAAAGCCACGGCUAACUACGUGCCAGCAGCCGCGGUAAUACGUAGGUGGCAAGCGUUAUCCGGAAUUAUUGGGCGUAAAGCGCGCGUAGGCGGUUUUUUAAGUCUGAUGUGAAAGCCCACGGCUCAACCGUGGAGGGUCAUUGGAAACUGGAAAACUUGAGUGCAGAAGAGGAAAGUGGAAUUCCAUGUGUAGCGGUGAAAUGCGCAGAGAUAUGGAGGAACACCAGUGGCGAAGGCGACUUUCUGGUCUGUAACUGACGCUGAUGUGCGAAAGCGUGGGGAUCAAACGGG
rnacentral:rRNA from 1 species